rnacentral:rRNA from 1 species
GACAGAGGGUGCGAGCGUUGUUCGGAAUACUGGGCGUAAAGCGCGCGCAGGCGGAUCCGUGCAAGUCAGAGGUGAAAUCUUACUGCUCAACGGUGAGACUGCUUCUGAUACUGCGGAUCUGGGGACCGGUAGAGGCUGGUGGAAUUGCAGGUGUAGCGGUGGAAUGCGUAGAUAUCUGGAGGAAUACCGGUGGCGAAGGCGGCAUCCUGGCCGACAUUGACGCUGAACGGCGAAAGCUAGGGG